UCCCCGCUCUCAUCAAUGGCGGCUACUCAGGGCCAGGUCAUCACUUGCAAAGCCGCCGUCGCGUGGGAGGCGAACCAGCCGCUGUCGGUGGAGGACGUACAGGUGGCUCCUCCGCAGGCCGGGGAGGUCAGGGUCCAGAUCCUCUUCGCCGCCCUCUGCCACACCGAUGCUUACACUUGGAGCGGCAAGGAUCCAGAAGGUCUGUUCCCUUGCAUUCUUGGCCAUGAAGCUGCAGGGAUUGUGGAGAGUGUCGGUGAAGGGGUUACUGAAGUCCAACCAGGAGAUCAUGUUAUCCCCUGCUAUCAGGCAGAAUGCCGAGAAUGUAAGUUCUGCAAGUCAGGGAAAACUAACCUCUGUGGCAAAGUUCGGGCGGCAACUGGCGUUGGAGUGAUGAUGAAUGACCGCAAGAGCCGAUUCUCUGUGAACGGAAAGCCUAUCUACCAUUUCAUGGGAACUUCUACAUUCAGCCAGUACACGGUCGUUCACGAUGUCAGUGUUGCCAAGAUCGAUCCCAAAGCUCCCUUGGAGAAAGUUUGCCUUCUUGGCUGUGGUGUUCCCACAGGACUUGGAGCAGUAUGGAACACAGCAAAAGUGGAAUCAGGGUCUAUUGUUGCUGUCUUUGGCCUGGGAACAGUUGGCCUUGCUGUUGCUGAGGGUGCAAAAGCAGCUGGUGCUUCCCGAAUAAUUGGUGUAGACAUUGACAGCAAAAAGUUUGAUAGAGCAAAGGAUUUUGGGGUGACUGAGUUUGUGAAUCCGAAGGAACAUGACAAGCCAAUCCAACAGGUUAUUGUUGAUCUCACUGAUGGUGGUGUUGACUACAGUUUUGAAUGCAUUGGGAAUGUCUCGGUAAUGAGAGCUGCUUUGGAAUGCUGUCAUAAGGGCUGGGGAACAUCAGUAAUUGUUGGUGUGGCAGCUUCAGGGCAGGAGAUCUCCACACGUCCUUUCCAAUUGGUAACUGGUCGUGUUUGGAAAGGAACAGCUUUUGGUGGUUUCAAGAGCCGUUCGCAAGUGCCGUGGCUGGUUGACAAAUAUAUGAAAAAGGAAAUCAAGGUUGAUGAAUAUAUUACUCACAAUUUGACUCUUGGGGAUAUCAACGAGGCUUUCCAUCUACUGCAUGGAGGUGAUUGCCUCCGUUGUGUGCUUACAAUGGAUUAAAGAGGCUCUGGUUCACAGGCCAGUUUGUUGUGCAAUGCCCGAAGUGUUUGCUGCAUAUGAUGCUCUGGCUUGUGAGCUACUUGUUUGUUCGGAAAUCUCAUGGUUUGAAACAGAGAGAAGGCUAUGAUGUAACAGAUAAAUUCUAAUGACGAAGGGGACGGGGAAAAACAAUGAUUGUUGGUGCAACUAUGGUUAUGAUGUCAUGUAAUAACGGGUACAAGAAUUACCCAGUUGACUCUCAUGAGUAUGAUCUUUCUCA